UUUGUUUAGAUUGGUUGAGGAGAGGAGACAAAUCCGUGGCCUAUAGCUUUCGUUGGGGAAGAUGGAGCACCAAAACCGCACAAUUGGUUUAGAUGAUUGUUUUAAUCUGUGUUUCAGUCCAUUUUCUGUCCAAUGCUUGUUUACAAGUGUUUUUAUUAGCAUUUUUUUUUGCUCGACUAAUCAGGACAUUGGUCUGGAAAUGAUCAUUUGACCUUGUUUUGCUUGGGUUAUAUGGCGUUAGAACUAUCACUUUCUCUUUACAAUGAAUGUUGAGGGUACUGAUAAGCUCCUUUUGUGGAGUGUAAAACUAAUAGCAUGUUUAUUUAGCACUGCAACAAUAGCAUAUAAAUAUAUGGUCCUUCUCAUUAUUCUGUAAUAUUUCUUGAUAUAAUAAAUUUAUAAUUCACAUGAUAGGAGUUUAAUUAUAUACCAUCAUGUCUGUUAAUUUAAGAAAAUACUAGCUUGCAGCUAAGCUCAUUGUUGGAGACAUGUUUUUGCUGAGUUAGGGUUCUUUUGUGAAGACCAUUGAUAUGUAUUAAUCUGGACAUGUUCUCGCUGAGUUGUAUCUUGGGCCACCUUGCUUUUCUUAUCACGUGUCAUUAGAUUUCUUUUAUUGCAUCUUCCGUUUAUAUUUGUCCAAAGUAGCGGAGAACCUGGACUUGAGACUAAGAAAAUUUCCUCCAUUCUUGCAGGAUGAUCAUUGAUUCAUACCGUUCUAAGUUUAAAGCAUGUUUUAUGUGGUGUGGUACCUUUGGUUCAAGACAGUGAAGAUAAAGGACAGGGAGGUCAGCUGCCAGACAACGUGUUUGGCAAGGAUGCAGUUGUUGAUCCAAAAUCAGCCGUCGAACCUCUGCCUCUGCCAAAAGAUAAAAAGUGUGGGACAUAACCUGUGAAACAAUCGACCGGUGCAGCCGACAAGAAAAAACAACCCUUAGACCGUAGAAGUACAUGGCUCCAGCUUCACGCUGAGGCUCGUAUGCCCUGAUUUACCCCUACAAGGUUGGCAUUGUGACUAUAGAUGGUAUACAAUCGUCCAAGCUCAGGCACUGUGCCAACGCAAAUUACUGGAAGCGUCGUCCUAGGUAGAUGCAGUCACAAUUGGCUGCAGUGGGUAGACAAAAAGAAAUCGAUGUGAGCAAGGUAAAUUUCACCCGUGUUUGUGCAUGUCUUGACUUUACUUUGACCAUGUUGACACGUUUUCCAACUUAUCUGCAUGUUGUCCUUGAUAAGCAAUAAUUAGGUGACUUCAAAUAUAUCUGCCUGGCAAGACCAAAUAAGCUUGAUGAAUUGCCCUCAAGAAAGCCAUGUAACUUUUGGGAACCCUAUGAUGGCAUUCAAAUACAGAGCCUCUCAAGCUCGGUCUAGAAUAUUUAUCAAAGAAGAGUUAGAAGAGGGGCGAGAGGAGAUGGCAUGUGCAACCAGAGCUUCACUGCUGCUCUGCGAUAAAGCUUGAGCAUAGGCAUAUGGCUACACUUGUGGACUGGUUGCUACAAUUCAAAUACUUAGGCUUCUUAGGCCUUCCCUUUACAUAAGGUCCUAUAUCUGAAUGCAGGUCUCAAGCAUGGCUUAAAAUCACAACCUUUUGGCACCCUCCUAAUGUUGGCUGGACAAAAACAAAUGGUGAUGGGGCUUUCAGUUCUGGGCCCGGGGAAGCGGCCUAUGGAUCCAUUGCUUGUGAUCACCAGGGCCGAUUCUACCCAAACGCAGCUAAUGCCCUCUCUAUGGAGGCUCAUGCUAUUCGAGGUGUGAUUCUGGCCAGGGAUAAGAAG